GUCUAUUUUCAUCUUUCUCAUCCUAGUGUUAUCAAGAGAAAAACAGUCUUAGAUGCAACAUAAAAAUUUCAGAGACAGAAGAAAUCUUCCUUUGAGGGCAGUGAUACACUUAUGUGAGAUUUUGAAAAAUGAAAAAUCAAAGGUGGAAUUGACCAGUAGAUGUAAAAGUACAACGAAUAAACAAAAAUGCAAUGUUGAAAGUGAAACUGAAAUUCGACAGAAAUAAAAGAAAUAGCAGACUGGGGGGAUAUUGACUUUGACACCAUGAUGCCAGAGGAACUUAGUGAUGGCAAACUUAUCAAUAUAAAAUGAGGAUAUUGGUUGUCAACUAGGUUGUGUGGUGGUCCUUGAUCUUGUCUAUCAAGUCCUUUUUCCCAAAGGAUAACUGAAGAAGAUCACAUACAUUCCAACUUAUUGACUCUGAUAGGUAUUCAUCUGAUGAGCUCCUCUUCAACUGAGGAUUGAAAUGCUAUUUUUCUUCCCUGGUACAAUGUUAAAGCUUUAAACUCUUGUCAAUGAUGUGACAUUUCAUCUGCAAUGAUCUACACUAGAAAAAUAAAAAUGUAGUUACUGACAAAAAAGCAGGAACUACUGCUCUAAGGAAAAAAAGAAAGCUGCAUGAGGACCACACAAUUCCUGGAAGAGGUUUCCCUGGCAACACAACUUUUCCAUUCAUCUGGUUGCAAUGUUUUCAUCCAGUAGCCUGUCACCUCACUCAAAAGCAGGGCAAUGGAGAGAAAGAAACUUGUCAAGUUUUUUCUUUUAACUAGAGAGUAACCUACUUAUUGGGUCCUGCAAUUAAUUUCAG